CGUUUCUAUCGCUAUAUCUUAAUAGAGUACAUUCCUACUGCGUGUAAACGUAGCACAACCACAAAUAAUAGAUUGAUCAAUUAACCAAUAGGCGACGAGCGCGAUCGACCAAUAGGAGGAAGUGUACACGGAAUAUUUGGAUGGGCUUUAUCACCUUGUGUCGCUUUUGUCCAAGGUGUUAAUUCGCAGCCACGGAAUGUACGCGAUGAUAAUCCGUGUACAUAUGGUCACGGAAUAUUUGGAUGUACAUUACUCGGUUGGGCUUUAUCAUGGUCGUGCAUUACAGUUUCCCAAGAAAUGAAUCCAAAUUGUCGUCCGUUAAUUACCAAUGCAAUAAAAAAAAGUAAUAAUAAAUAAAAAGGGAAAUAGAAGUUUUCCCGUCUAUGACUUGAUGACGGGGCUAACGUUUGCCCGAUUCGAAGUCGAUCGAAUCUCGAAUAGUUGGAUUUUUGGUUGGAUUGUUAGACAUUGGUUGGACACAAGGAUUCUUGGUCUUUGGUUGGACAAGAAUACAUUUGACAAGAAUUUGACAUAAGAAAUGAAUGAAUGAGUGCAACACUACUCUGUCUGUCCGUUGUGCGAGCGAAUGUACGUUACGAAAGUGAAUUUUUAGAAAUAAAUUCAGGAAACAGUGGUUAAAUAUCCGCAAUUUUACAUUAAUAGGCGAAAAUGGAAGUGACCGACGAAAAUCUGGCUACGUUGGCGAAUUACUUACAGCAAACCUUGAAUCCAGAUCCUAACAUUAGGCGGCCCGCAGAGAAAUUUCUGGAAAGUGUGGAAAUAAAUCAGAACUAUGCCAUUCUGCUGCUUCACCUCAUAGACAAGGAUGCAGUAGACAUGAACAUCCGUGUAGCAGCAGCUAUUGCCUUCAAAAACUAUAUCAAAAGAAACUGGCCUGUGGAAGAAGACAGUGCAGACCGGAUCCAUGCUUCAGACCGUGCCACAAUCAAGACUCUCAUAGUGAACAUGAUGUUGAAGUCUCCGGAGGCUAUCCAGAGACAGUUCAGUGACGCUGUGUCUAUCAUCGGAAAGAGUGACUUCCCGGAGAAGUGGCCCAGUCUCAUUCCAGAGAUGGUGGAGAAGUUUGCUACAGGCGACUUCCACGUGAUCAACGGUGUCCUCCGCACGGCGCACUCCCUGUUCAAACGCUACAGAUACGAGUUCAAGUCACAGAAACUGUGGGAAGAGAUCAAACAUGUGCUAGACAAUUUCGCCAAACCGCUCACAGACUUGUUUGUUGCCACAUUGGACCUAAGGAACACCCACGCAGACAACCCGCAGGCGUUGAAAGUGAUCUACAGUUCGCUGGUGCUCAUCUGCAAAGUGUUCUACUCACUCAACUGUCAAGAUCUACCGGAGUACUUUGAAGACAACAUGCCUAUUUGGAUGCCCAAUCUCCUCAACCUACUGCAAGCUAAAGUGCCUUGCUUGGAGACCGAGGACGAUGAGGACAAGCCGGGCGUAAUGGAGCAGCUGCGCACGGAGGUGUGCGAGUGCGCGGCGCUGUACGCGCUCAAGUAUGAGGAGGAGUUCGCGCCGCACGCGCCCGCCUUCGUCACCGCCGUGUGGACCGUGCUGCUCUCCACCGGCCCGCACACCAAGUACGACGCGCUGGUUGCGAAUGCGCUGACGUUCCUCGCGAAGGUAGCAGAGAAGAACAGCUACAAAAGCUUGUUUGAGGACCCCAACACCCUCAGCAGUAUCUGUGAGAAGGUCGUCAUACCCAACAUGGAAUUCCGAGAGUCGGACAUGGAGUUGUUCGAAGACAACCCAGAAGAGUACGUGCGGCGCGACAUCGAGGGCUCCGACGUGGACACGCGGCGCCGCGCCGCCUGCGACCUCGUCAAGACCCUCGCUCAGCACUACGAGGAUAAGAUGAUGACCAUCUUCGGGCAGUACGUGCAGCUGAUGCUGAGCAAGUACGGUGAGGCGGGCGGCGCGGCGUGGCGCGGCAAGGACACGGCGCUGUACCUGGUGACGUCGCUGGCGGCGCGCGGCAGCACGGCGGCCGCGGGCGUCACGCGCGCCUCGCCGCUGGUGGACCUGGCGCAGUUCGCCGCCACGCACGUGCUGCCCGAGCUGCAGCGGCCCGGCGUGACGGAACUCCCCGUGCUAAAGGCGGACGCCAUCAAAUACCUGAUGACAUUCCGUUCGCUGCUGCCCAAAGAGUUGCUCGUUAACGCCUUCCCGCUUGUGAUCCAGCACAUCAGCGGGCGCGGCGUGGUGUGCACGUACGCGGCGUGCGCCGUGGAGAAGCUGGUGGCGGGCGGCAUGGUGCCGCGGCCGCAGCUGGCGCCGCACGCCGCGCCGCUGCUGGGGGCGCUCUUCGCCGCGCUCGACGACCACAACGAGUACAUCAUGAAAGCGAUCCUCCGCACGCUGGCGUGCCUGCAGGAGGCGGGGCUGUCCUUCCUGGGCGAGGCGCUGCCCAAGCUGGCGCAGAUGCUGGCCGUCGUAGCCAAGAACCCCUGCAAGCCGCACUUCAACCACUACCUCUUCGAAACUCUUUCCUUGGCUGUCUCUUUGGUGACAAAGUCCAACCCGAACGCUAUCACGGCAUUUGAAGACGCGCUUUUCCCAAUAUUCCAAGAAAUCCUGCAGAAUGAUGUCCAAGAAUUCAUGCCGUACGUGUUCCAAAUGCUGUCGCUGCUGCUGGAGCUGCGCGGGGCGGGGGCGGCGGCGGGGGCGGGCGGCGCGGCGGGCGGGGACUCGGACGCGUACGGCGCGCUGCUGCCGUGCCUGGUGGCGCCGCCGCUGUGGGAGCGGCCCGCCAACGUGCGCCCGCUCGUGCGCCUGCUGUGCGCCUUCGUCGCCGCACGGACCGACCUCAUCCUCAGGACUAACAAGCUGAACGCAAUGCUGGGCGUGUUCCAGAAACUGAUCGCGUCCAAGACGAACGACCACGAGGGCUUCUACCUCAUACAGACCAUGCUGUUCAAGUUCGGAGAACAAGUGAUGCAGCCAUACACGAAACAGGUUAUGACCCUCCUGUUCCAGCGGCUCUCGUCCUCCAAGACCACCAAGUACGUGCGCGGCCUUAUUGCCUUCCUGGGGUUCUACGCCGCGCACUUCGGAGCCGAUCCCCUGAUAGACCUUGUGGACUCCGUACAGGCCAAUAUGUUCGCGAUGUACGUAGAGCGCGUGCUGAUCCCGGACCUGCAGAAGGUGAGCGGCGCGCUGGAGCGCAAGGCGGCCGCCGUGGGCUGCGUCAAGCUGCUCACUGACUCCGCGCACUUCCGGCAGGGGGCGCUGGCGCAGCUGUGGCCCAAACUGUUGCAGGCGCUGAUCGCGCUGUUCGAGCUGCCGACCGACGAGUCCUCGCUGCCGGACGAUCACUUCAUAGAAGUGGACGACACGCCCGGCUACCAGGCGCAGUACAGCCACCUCACCUGCGCCAAGGGGGUCAGCAACGACCCGCUAGCCAGUAUCGAGGAUCCAAAGCGUUAUCUAGCGGAAAGCCUCGGCAACGUGUCGCGAUCGAACCCUGGACUCCUUCCUCCGAGGGUGGCAGCAUUGGACGAACAGCAUCGCAACGUUCUUCAGGUGUACCUAAACGCGUACUCAGUGCAGAUCUGUUGAAAUUACAUGGGGUUUUAGUGUGGGCCGAUAGAUGGCGGUAGUGAGACGUGAGGUCCGGUGGAAACUAGAAGCAUUGUAGUUUGUACUAGAGACGAUAAUGACAAAAAUAAAAUCCCGUUACAUGAGUAUUGUACAUCGUAAGAACAUGCGUUAGUGAAGGAUUAUUCUUUUUAUAGCACUCAAUAGUGCUUAAUUGUUAAACAAAGUCGAUAAGUUUGACUCGGACGCGAUUUAAACCAACAGCUCUACUCAAGUCAGGAUGAAGAUGGUGGUUAACACGCUCGUCCCAGCUUGACAAUAGCUGCGCUUUCAAAUCCAGUCCUAGUCAAAGUUUUUCAUAUUGAUUUUCUCUAUUCAUUAAGUCAAAAUUACAGUACGGCCGCCGUAACGUAAGAAGUCCGAUUUGACUCAGGAAGCCAGCACGGAAAAUUACACCUCAAUGGCAUUCAUACUAGAACUAUGCUUUUUGAUUCGCCGCAGUCGGGUUAAAACGGACUUCUUACGGCGGUCGUACUAUAGGGAAAAACCUUGUGAUCUACCAUCAUGUGAUUUACCAUCAUAUUGGCCCCGAUUCCUGCAGACACAUCCUAAAUUCCUAAUUUUAUUUUAAGUCAUACCCGUCAAUUUCGUAUCCGCCGGAAAGGAAAAGGAUAAAAUUUAUGGAACGCACGUCAAUUUUAGGCCGAAAUUUUAAAAAGCCUUUCAGAAAUUUUAUAUUCGUCAAUAACCCGACAGAAUUAAGUUAACAGCACACGUAAAACGGAUUGCAUAUGAGCGAGAUGCCUUUUAUUCGCCCAGGUUAUUCAUAUUUUUCUUUUUCGGCGGAUAAGAAAAUAACCGAUAUAACUUAAAAUAAAAUUAGGAUGUGUCUGCAGGAAUCGGG
rnacentral:misc_RNA from 1 species